rnacentral:rRNA from 1 species
UACGGGGGGGGCAAGCGUUGUUCGGAAUUACUGGGCGUAAAGGGCUCGUAGGCGGCCAACUAAGUCAGACGUGAAAUCCCCAGGCUCAACCUGGGAACUGCGUCUGAUACUGGAUGGCUUGAAUCCGGGAGAGGGAUGCGGAAUUCCAGGUGUAGCGGUGAAAUGCGUAGAUAUCAGGAGGAACACCGGUGGCGAAGGCGCACAUCUGGCCCGAUACUGACGCUGAGGCGCGAAAGCUAGGGGAGCAAACGGG